CCAAUUUGGAACAGAAAGAAACGCGAACUACUAGGGUUUCCAGCGCCGGCGGCGGACCUCGCCGUGUGCCGCGCUCCGGCGUCGGGCGAACGAGCUCGCCAAGAUACGGACGUCCAGCAGACUAGUCGCCCUAUUUCCGCCUCGCCAUUUUCCACCUCGCCCCCCCUCCUCGACCCGACCCGGCCCAACCCGACGCCUAGCUCCGCCACCCAUCGACGCUGUGGAAGGGAACUCCGAUCUUCACGUAUUUUUGUGCGUUCCGGUCUUGAUCCAUCGUUUUCUAUGUUGAUUUUGUCAGAUGUACCUACUUCAGUCUUUUCAUUUUUACAGGGCCUACUGAAGGAGCCGGUUGAAGGAAGAGAAGCUUCAAGCAAGAUCUCCUUUUAUUUGCUGACAGGACCAGCUGAAGGAAAAGAAGCUUCAGCCUUAUAUUCUUGAGAAUACCAUUAUUAGGAGAAACGUGGACAGGAAAAUCCAUUGAACAUCACCGUCUCGCCAUUUGCAUUUUUAUCUACAUAGAGUAGAGAAUGAUGGGAGUCAAUGGCAAGUAUUGCUCCAAGUGCCGGCUCAACUACAGCAAUGGGACUUGAAGAUGAUGCCAACAACUUUUCCAUGGUCCAAACAGGAUUGGACAUACAUGAUGAAGAUUGUUUCAAUACACCAAAAAGAACCAGUAGCCUCCCCGUGCGUGGGUCAACUUAUGAGUCCGAGUGUGAUGAUAGCCUACAAUCGUCAAUUGGCAUGCGAUUUGAUAGCUGGGAGGCAGGUUUGGCAUUCUAUAGAAUGUAUGCCCAUGAGGUUGGCUUCUCCGUAUGCAUAUGGACACAACACAAAGGAGAGGGUGGUGUAAUAAUUUGGAAGAAGUUUGUUUGCGCAAGGUUGGAGGAAGCAAAAAUCAAUGGACAUUGGCCAAGUUACUCAAGAAAUGCAGAGAAAAAAGGUUAAAAGAAAUAUCAAGAUAACCAGAUGCUGUUGUGAGGCUAUGAUCGGAUUGAAGAGGCAAGAUGACGGCAAGUAUGAGGUCGCCCAGUUUGUUCAACCACACACACACCAACUUAUCUCACCAAGUAAGAGACAUCUCAUCCGGUCAAAUAGAGAGGUAACUAGUGAUUUGAGAAACAAACUAUCUACAUGCAGUAAGGCAUUGCUUGGCACAUCAAAAACAUUUCGCUUGGUUAGUAUUGAGAAAGGUGGGCAAGGAAACAUAGCUUGCACGAAACGUGACUUACAGAACUAUGACCGUGAUUUUAAGGCAGCAAUUAAGGGAGCAGAUGGACAACUUAUAGUAGACAUAAUGGAAAAUAAAAGAAAGGCCAAUCCAGCAUUCUACUUUGAUUACUAGGUUGAUGAGAACAAUAAACUAAAA